GGUGGCCUCGAGUGCCUCUUCUUCCCCAAUGCGGCCUCAGCCAACGACGCUGCACCCCGGUGAUGACUCCGCCCCACGAUUCCCAUCGGUCGGCGCCUCGCCAGCAGUGACCUCCCCCUCCAUGUAUCCUGUGAUCCGGUCGUGCGCCACCGCCUCUCCAGGCGCUUAGAUCCAGGCUUCCAGAAGGGGAUAGGGGUGGAGGCGGCAGCGGAGGGGACAGGGAUGUGGACCGGAGAAACUACAUGGUGGAGGCACAACAAAGUGUUCAAGCACGGCACCCCAUCGCAUGCAGCUGCAGCCAGCGGCAGGUGUUGGGCACUUUGAGGUAUGCAAACCUUCUCAGAGCAAGGGGAGCAAGAGUACCGAUCAACCGUUCUUCUUUCUUCCUUGGAGCUCCACUGUUUUGGAUGAACUGGACUAACCCUAGAAGGGAUGAAGGUCAUCCACGAGGUGUCUCAAGGUGAACCCCGUGGUACCCGACCAAGUGGCUGGAGGGAAUGGUGUAUGCUCACAAGUUUGUACAGACCAAUUUGUUUCACUCGGACAAGAAUCCCACGAGAACCUUAAUGUGGCCUUUAAGUUUCAGGUCCUUGGGGUUGGAUGCGGCAACUCGUGGCUCGAAGACAAUCUUUUGUGGUGGGGCGUCGCCGCCGGCGGCGGCUCCUGCAUAGACCGUAUCGCUGGGAACGAAGAGAUGCUCCCCUGAUUUGGAGCUGUAGAAAGGAAGUGGUUGCAGACACAAAGUGGGGACACACAACUCCCAGUCAUAAUAUUCUUUAUCUUGGCUCGUUGUUUGGGGAUGGACGCAUCAAUCUGAUGGCGCUCUCCUCCAUGCCAAACGGAUCCUUGGUUCGGAGGCGCGCGGCGCCGACGAUGACAACCUUUCUAUCGACGCAAGGGCAGCAGGAGCUCAUGACGUUGUUGAUGCCACCACCAUGCAUGGGGUUGAUGCAAGGUGGGACAAGUAUGUAUACCAGGCAAAGUACUCAAUCUGUUUGGCAUUUAGCUUUUUGAUUCUGUUUUUAGUGAGCUUGAUUCAGAUAAUUUGUUUACCUGAUGCCUUCACUCCAGGUAAUCUGUUUGUCUGACAUUUUGCUUUUUGAUUCAGUGCGAUCACUAAUGGGGAGAACAUAAAACUUCAAUUGAGGGCACUGUAAUUCUCUAGCUACAUGUAUCAUGGUCACCAACCACACAUGUAAAAACCAUGUCUCCCUACUGUAAUUUGAUGAUUUAUUUACAUGUGGCACAGAAUAGUUCAGAGUUCACUCCGAGAAAGAAUUGCUUUGCAUGUACAUUUGCUAAAAGACGGAUGUGCUGAACUUUCGACUGUUCCGAUUGGUCGCUGACAUAACCUUUCCUCUUUUCAUUGAUAGGUCCAAAAGAGAUCCUUAUUUCACCUUUGUUUAUAGGUAUUCAACGUGAGGAAUUUUAUACUUUUGGAGUGGAGCUAUCAAAUAUAUAUUAUGAGUUUCUAAAACAUCUAUUAUAAGGAGUUGAACAGAGCUUCCUCUGCCCCGGCAGAUUCAGAGAAAACCAACCAGCAGAGAACAUGAACAAAUAUAGUGACGAGAAAGGGUGGAGCUGAGUACACCACACAUGGAUAUGAUGGUCUCCCCUAUGUUCUUUUUGGCAAUCCACUUAAUCACUGACUCAACUUUGUAUGGGUGAGCUAACAAGCCCGUGUUAUGUCUUCCCUCUUUCUUUGGCGCUUCCGAUGCACAAAUGGUGGCGGUGAAGCAGCAGGCCCGAGAGAGCGUGCAGGGGAGGAAGGAGUUCCUGGUGGAGGUGCUGAUACUGGCGGUGCUCAGCCACCCUAACUUCGUCAGCCUGAUCGGCUUCUGCGCGCAGGGGA